rnacentral:misc_RNA from 1 species
GAUGAAGAACGCAGUGAAAUGCGAUAAGUAAUGUGAAUUGCAGAAUUCAGUGAAUCAUCGAAUCUUUGAACGCACCUUGCGCUCCUUGGUAUUCCGAGGAGCAUGCCUGUUUGAGUGUCAUUAAUAUAUCAACCUUCUCUUUUUUGAGUUGUUUGGAUGUGGGGGUUUGCUGGCCUCUUAAAUGAUUCAGCUCCCCUGAAAUGCAUUAGCAGAACAACCUGUUCAUUAGCGUGAUAAUUAUCUAUGCUAUUGAAUGUGAGGGCAGUUCAGCUUUCUAACCGUCCUUGGACAAUUCAUCAUUAAUGUGACCUCAAAUCAGGUAGGAGUACCCGCUGAACUUAAGCAUAUCAAUAAGCGGAGGA